GUGCCAUUCAGAGACUGCAUUGCAUCUGCGUUGGACAGAAUUUUGGUGCAUUCCUUGAGCUGAAUAAUCGUAAUAAGUAGCCGUUCCAGGCUUCCUGAAAAUCCAGCGUUACCUGUUUCUUGGGUAACCUGAAGACUGUAAAUGUGCUCUAACCGUGCUGUUUAGACUCUGUUCCUGUGCCCCAUGUCUCAAAACCUGCAUUCCGUUUCCAAUUGUUCCAUCCUUAUAGUGACUAUUUUCCAUGAGUUGUCUUUGAAUUUCUUGAUCGGUGAUUGGUAAAGUGAAGUCAGUGCUGAGGCUGUUGGUCUGACUGGGGCGAUGAGAUUGUCACCUGAUCUCACACACACACAAAAGGAAAUAAGGCAUUUUAGAGAUUUUGGUUACCCGACACGGCCCAUUUUCUAGUUGUAGAUCGUCCGCGCAGACCGCACGCCCGGUGGGAUACUCCAGGCCGCUUCUCGUCAGUUUGGGCCUCUGCUUUCAGAACAAAAUUAUUGGACAGUAACUAAUUCCCCAAAAAAAUUGCAGACAUUAUGCAAAUCUGAUCAUAUUUACAAUUCCCAAUUACUAGCAUACAUAAUUAGAAAUAUAUCCGCCAUCAAAUCAAAGAUGCCUGUUGAAGACUAUCCAGAUCGGCGAUCAUAUCUUGAAACAGGCUGCGCCGUAUCACUUGCAAUUCUGCUGCGCAUCAACGCGCUAGUUAGUCACGGGCAGCUAGAAACGGCUUUCUCUAUCAGUUUACCCCUCUUCUUUUUCCCUCCGCCGCGUUGGUCCAACGGAAACUCCAGCACGGAAAAGCGAACGCGCCACAAAAGCCCACAACGACCAACCCGUUAGUAGCCGCGACGAGUCAACGGGCGGGUCGCCGACGCGGCGCGGAGCGAGCCACAGACGCAGCCAUGAGCUGGGGCAAGAGAGUCAAGGCCUCGCCGCGAGGGCACCGGCACCGGCACCACCAACGCCCCCGUCCGAAUUGACCCGAGAUCACAUGGCCGCUUUGCCUGUUUCCUCGAAGGAGAACAGGUUUCGGUUACUGUCGCGAGCAGGAUCCCGUCCCUGUCGAUCCUUGAUGGAAUUAGGAAUGCCGGGAAUGAAAACGCUUUUCCCUCCACGACAGGUCGGUCGGUGUGGGGAUCGAUCACCUGACUAGUCCAGGAAACGAAAUUAUUGGCAGUCCACAGGAAAAUGGGUAGCAGCAAUCAAGCUGGGAAAACUCUAAGAGACGAAUUCGUCAGAUAUACCAUCGGCACCGGCAGGCAGUACUGUGUGCCAUUUCAUCGUGAAGGUAACAUCUGACAGGCAAUUCUGCAACGUAACAUGCACAAAAAAAAAA
rnacentral:lncRNA from 1 species